rnacentral:lncRNA from 12 species
ACGACAGACACCCUGUUGGACACAAAUCCCACUCAAGGCCGAAGCACGGGUCCAAGCGACUCUCGAAGGCCCGCCCGCCUCCCGGGCCCACGGGAAGGGAGCCAGAAGCGGCGGGCGGUCGGCCUGAGGGUGACGGUGACGAGCCUCCACCGCCCGUCUCGGGUCGCCUUCGCCCCCCCGGCCCGCCGCCGGCCGCUAGCCUCUCCUGACCCCUGCAAGGAAGGCCCCGGCCGGCCUCAGCUCCAAAGGGCCAUCGCGGACGCCCUCGACUGCCCGGGCCCUCCGAGCCGGCUGCCAGUCCGCACGCCACCCCCCACCCCCACCGAGUGUCCGCUCCACGAGGCCUACCGGCCUCCCCGGGGCUUCCCUUCUGACCAUGAAGCCCAGGUCCGAACGCCCUCCACAAGCAGGCGGGAGCCACCCAGGACCACCAAGGGGGCACGCGCCGCCCGGGCAAGGAAGGGUCCGGCUCCCACACAAGUCGACCGCCCCGACGGUCGAUGGCGGGGCACGGGGCCGCGCCAAGGGAGGGCCACGCGGGCGUCCCCUAGCUCGGCGGCGGGCGCGGGGCCGGGCUUCGCGCCCGGCUCGCCCAUCAGAGUCCGGGCACGGGCCCCACGGCACCCCAGGGCGGGACCGGUGACAGAGGCUGCUGCGGGGGUACCCUGCCCGGGGGACCGCUCAGCCCUGCGGGACCUCUCAUCCCGCAGAGUCAGCGCGUCUCCGCCCACCUUGCCCACCCGGCUUGUCAAGCAAGAGCAGGCCAGCGAGCCAAGUCCUCCCUGCUCCUCGGUCUCGGUCUCGGUCUCGGGGCCAGGGAGACCCGGUUCCUCGCCCCUGGGCAGGUGCCCGAGCUCCGCGGGUGCCGCUGUGGCGCCGGGACCCAAAGGACGCGUGGACACCGCCUGGAUCUCAGGCGGGGGGGUGGGGGGUCGGAGGGAGACCGGGGACAGGAGAUGCAGGCCGCCUCCUCGGUGCCCCGGGGCCAGGUUUGACCAAGGAAGGGGACAGCGUGCACAGCCCUUGUGCCCCCCACCGCGCCCCCCCCCCAACUAA